GGUAAGCUCAAAGGUUAAAAGAACUAGACUGCUGAUCUAGAGGUCCUGAGUUCAAUUCCCAGCAACCA
rnacentral:tRNA from 1 species